rnacentral:sRNA from 1 species
GGCGGCCGAGUUGGAGUACGAGUCUGUGCUGUGUGUGAAGCCGGACGUCAGCGUCUACCGGAUUCCGCCCCGGGCCUCCAACCGCGGUUACAGGGCAUCUGACUGGAAAUUAGACCAGCCUGAUUGGACUGGUCGCCUCCGAAUCACUUCAAAAGGGAAGACUGCCUAUAUCAAACUCGAGGAUAAAGUUUCAGGGGAGCUCUUUGCUCAGGCACCAGUAGAACAAUAUCCUGGUAUUGCUGUGGAGACAGUGACAGAUUCCAGCCGCUACUUUGUAAUCCGGAUCCAGGAUGGUACUGGUAAGAGAACUGGGAUUUUGAGUGGAACGCAGCCAUGAAAAGUGUGUCUGAUUGCAUUUAUCUUUCUUUGGUUUACUUCAUUUUUUCUUCCCUUUCUCUAAAGUUGCUAUAGUUGCUAAAGGAAAAGUAUUAACGUGUUAUUUGUAAUAGAUAAGCACAAGUUCAAGAUGUGGUAAUUCAUAUGUAGACUUAAAUAAAUCAAAAACACAUAGCUAACAAAUGAAUUAACACAUUUUGCACUUUAGGAGGCCGAGGUGGGUGGAUCACCUGAGGUCAGGAGUUCGAGGCCAGCCUGACCAGUAUGAUGAAACCCCGUCGCUACUGAAAAUACAAAACUUAGCCAGGCGUGGUGGCAGGUGCCUGUAAUCCCAGCUACUCGGGUGGCUGAGACAGGAGAAUCGCUUGAAUUGGGGAAGUGGAGGUUGCUGAGAUCAUGCCAUUGCACUCCAGCCUGGGCAACAAGAGCGAAACUCCAUCUCAAAAAAAAAAAAAAAACCACACACUUCUUGCCUGUUUAUUGUUUGUGGUAGUUUUUGGUGGGACUAUCUUGAAUCAUCUUACGUGUGGGGCAGUUAUUCUUACUCUUUUCUCCAUGGUCUAUAACAGAGGUUGGCAAACAGACAAAUAAUAAAUAUUUUAGGUUUUGCAGGUCAAGUGGCCUCUGUUGCAACUACUCAGUUUUGCUGUUGUAGUGUGAAAGCACUGUAGAAAAUAUGUAAACACGUUGAUAUCACUGUGUUCCAUGAAACUUUUUCUACAAAACCAAGCUAUGGCAGGAUAAAGCCCAUGGGCUCUAUGUAGUUUAUCGACUCUUGGUCUAUGAGAAGAUGUUUCACAUUCAGACUUUGUCUAGUUAGGGUGACUGUUAUGUUUUCAUUGGGCAAAAUUUGCCGUAGAGCAGCAGUCCUCAACCUUUUUGGCACCAGGGACCCGUUUUGUGGAAGACAGUUUUCCACAGACCGGCAUUAGGGGAUGGUUUCAGGAUGAUUCAAGUGCAUCACAUUUAUUGUACACUUUAUUUCUAUUAUUAUUACAUUGUAAUGUAUAAUGAAAUAAUUAUACAACUCACUAUAAUGUAGAAUCAGUGGGAGCCUUGAGCUUGUUUUCCCCCAACUAGACGGGGGUGAUGGGAGACCCCCAUCUGGGGGUGAUGGGAGACAGUGACAGAUCAUCAGGCAUCAGAUUCUCAUAGGGAGCACAUAACCUAGAUCCCUCACAUGUGCAGUUCACAGUAGGGGUCACACCCCUCUGAGAAUCUAAUGCUGCCACUGAUCUGACAGGAGGCAGAGCUCAGGUGCUAAUGCAAGUGAUGGGGAGCGGCUGUAAAUACAAUGAAGCUUUGCUCUCUUGUGUACAACUCACCUCCUGCUGCAUGGCCUGGUUUCUCACAGGCCACAGACUGGUGCCGGGGGUUGGGGGCUCCUGCCAUAGAGGAUACUUCUUAGUUGAGUCUUCCUACCUUUUCCACAGGGCGCAGUGCUUUCAUUGGCAUUGGCUUCACAGAUCGGGGAGAUGCCUUCGACUUUAAUGUCUCCUUGCAGGAUCACUUCAAGUGGGUAAAGCAGGAAUCUGAGAUUUCCAAGGAAUCUCAAGAAAUGGAUGCUCGUCCUAAGUUGGAUCUGGGCUUCAAGGAAGGACAAACCAUCAAGUUGAGUAUCGGGAACAUUACAAACAAGAAAGGAGGUGCUUCCAAGCCCAGGACUGCAAGGGGUGGGGGCCUGAGCUUACUCCCACCCCCGCCAGGAGGCAAAGUCACUAUUCCCCCACCAUCCUCCUCAGUUGCCAUCAGCAAUCAUGUCACCCCACCACCCAUUCCGAAAUCUAACCAUGGAGGCAGUGAUGCAGAUAUCCUUUUAGAUUUGGAUUCUCCUGCUCCUGUCACGACACCAGCACCAACUCCAGUUUCUGCAAGCAAUGACUUGUGGGGAGACUUCAGCACUGCAUCCAGCUCUGUUCCAAACCAGGCACCACAGCCAUCCAACUGGGUCCAGUUCUGAAUGGCAUUGGCAGGACAUUAAGGACAGACUUGAGGAAUAAAAAUGACCUUGAGGGCACCAAUCUGUGAGGGAAGUUAGGAACCCAUUUCCUCCCCAGAAUCAAAAUGACUGGACAAUCUUUUUCGUAGCUUCUCCAUCACAUUCAAGCUGGUUUAUGUCACUCCCCUGUGUUGUUACUUGUACAGCCAAGAAAGUAUCUGUUAAUCUCCUGCUUAGUACCAAGGUAGGGGACUAGUGAAUCUUAUCAUAGUUUUGGCUGACUAUGCAGGGCUCAAAAGGCCAGCGUCUGUUUGAGGGGGAAUGACCUCUGACAUCUGUAAAAUUUGUCUCAUCUUUUAAAUUCUUUAACUUAUUUCAAAAUCAUCUCAUGACCCUCGUGUGCCUCUUUGUGAAGCCCUAUUUAGCAAUUUCAGGGGAGUCAAAAACCUUGCAACUUCCUUCUCCACUAACCCAGGACUAAAAAUGGACAGGCUGACCUUAGUGUUUACAAAUUCAGAAUUUUGAUAGGGGUAGAUAUGGAGAAAGACCUAUUUCCUGGGUCUCUGCUGUGUAGUCUCCUUCAGGCUUAUUGUACACAGUGAACAUCCAGUGCUGGGUGCAGCUCCAUCACCCUCUUGUGUGUUUACAUGUCUCUUUCUAUGAUAAGAGGGUUGUGUUGGUGGCACCUCCACUACUCUUUUCUGUUUGUUGAAUUUGAAUUGUGUAACAUCUUUGACCAGUGGGUGUUUCUGUAAUGAAGGAGGUUCAAGAGGCUGUGCUUUCCAAGUGAUAGUCUAUAGGAAUGUUUGAUUUCUUGCAGCUCCAUCUGGUUGCUGCAUUUGAAGCAUGGCAUUAAUUUGUAUUUGCCCUGUUGUUUGACCUUAAGUUGAAGGGUUUAGAGUUUUUAACCUGAUCUGUAGAGCAGAGAGGUUGAAAGCACUUAACUCUUGUUUAGUAUCCUCAUUGCCUUGCUGCCUGGGUAUCUGGCCCCUUUUCAUAAACAUUUCUUUUCAGUUCAUGUAGUUCUUUAAUAGAAAGCUGCUAUUAUGUAUAUUGUCAUUUGUGAAGGAAGUUGGAGAGUCACAGAUUUACUGUGACAGGUUUUGCCCAAGUCUGUGAUACCUGUCACCCAGGGUAUCUUAAAAGCAAGUUGUUCUCCCACUACUUUCCUUUCCCUCUGCCCUGCCAUUCCUUUUACAAUGCUGUGAAAAAAGUUCUGCUUCUUAGGUGAAUGGGUACUUUCUAUUUUGUUUCUAAAUGAGCAAUUUUGAGGAUGAAAUGGGAAGAUAUCAUUUCUUCCUUUUUGCACCUAUUAGGUAUGUACACUCUCUGGCUGAAGGGAGUCCUUAUGUUUAGUUUCAAAAUAUAUUACUUUCCUGGAUUCCCUUCUUAACGUUUUCUGACUUUGGGUCCAUUUUCUUUUCAUUGCCUCCUUUUCCAGGCAGCUCUAUUCUUGCAGAGCCAUGGCAGGACAUAUUAAAAUUCCAGUAGAAAACACUAAAAGGAAAGUCUGUAGAAUCACUAGUGACUAAAUACUGGGAACCUAUUUUCUCAAUCUUCCUCCAUGUUGUGUUCUUUGUAUUCUCAAGAUGAUAAUAUAUUAUGUAUUUGAAUUCCUGAAAAAUGGAAAAUGUUUAAGAUAUAUGUAUAUAAAGCAUAUGCUGUAUU